rnacentral:lncRNA from 1 species
AGCCAUUAGUCAUGUUCUCUAUAAUACCAGCACUUCUGGGCCUGGAACGGUAGAGAUUUGAUCACAGUUUAAAGCUUGUGUGUGUGUGUGCGUGAGUGCGCGUGUGUGUAUAUGGGAAGUAGGGGCAAAUUUUAACAAAAUUCCACCUGGCUGCUUUUGAGCUUCCAAGUUUGAGAGAAGAAAAUUGGUGUUGGCAUGCUAAGACUUUCCAAUGCUAGAAAAUUAGAUCGCAAUAGUUAGAAGAAUUAUAAUCUUGGCCCUGGCAAGCCUGGAAAAAGCAUCAUGGCAAGCCUAAAGGUCUCAGCUUCCUGGAGAAAUUGGACUUCAAAAGUUCUUCCCCUUAUAAAUCUUGCAAUCCCACCUAAGGAUAGGAACACAACAGAACAACUCAUGUUGACUUUGCUUCCAUUUCUCUACCAAAAGAAACAAUCUGUUAACUCUGAAAAGUAAAACAAAACAAAACAAAACCAAAAAAAAGGAUAAUAAGCAAGCUGAUGCCUGAGAAAAAUAUACAUGAUCCAGGACAACUCCAAAGGACUCAUUACAAAAAAAGGAUAUCCACUGCCAUAAAGGAACAGAUGGAGUCCAAAAGCAGACUGAAACAUACCAUUCUUCACUUUAUUUCCUCUUUGAAUUUUUCUCUGUUGUAAGCAAUAUGCAUCUUGUUUCACAACAUGACAAAUAUAGAAUAUGUAUUAUAUGAUAAUAUAUGUACAACCUAUAUCAUAUUACCUGC